rnacentral:lncRNA from 1 species
CAAGUCGUCCUCAACUCCUUUGUUGUCUUUCUUAUGGAGAUAGCCCUGGUGGUAGCAUCUGUGAGCGUGGUAGAGGGGACAUUGUUCGGGUGGUGGGGGGCUGAGAAAGAGGAUAGACGGACGAGUUUUUAGAUGUGGGGCACUUGCUCGAGCCUUGGCCGGAGCACCGACCACCAACAACCUCGGAGGUGCUGGCAUCUAAGAGAAGAGGAGGAUGGGAAGGACUAGGAAGA